GUGAUCACUUUGGUAACACAUACUAAAAAUGGAGCAGCAUAGAGAAGAUUAACAUGGCCCCAGCACAAGGAUGACAUUCACAUUUAUAAAGUGUUCUUUAAAAAA
ensembl:snRNA U6 U6 spliceosomal RNA